UUUAGCUCUAAGUGUAUUGAUUGUUAUUUUUCAGAAAUAUGUGUAACAGAAAAUUGUAAAAACUUUCCGAACGCCGUACCCAAAGCCCACGAUGUAGACGGAAAGUGCAAGUGCUAUUUUGAAGUAGACGGAAAGAAAAUAGAUAUGAUUUUAUGCGGGCUAAAACACGUGUGCACUGCUGACAAUCCAAUAUACCCAUGCGAGAGUCCUUUGCCCUGCCAAACAAAGAAGUGCGCAAAGUACCCCAGAGCAGAAUGCUAUAACUAUGUGUGUGGAACGUGUAGAGCUGAUUUCUUUGUCGGCAACGUGAAUAUGACUGAUGAAUGUAGGUGAUGACUGAUAACUCCAAAGAAAAGGCGAUGAUUAAGGCUAGGGAGACAGCAAAGAACAAUUAUCAUCAAGAAGUUUAAAAUUGGAAAUAAACUAAUUU